AUGAAGACCGCAGCUAAAUGCGCGUCAUAAUGUGAACUGCAGGACACAUGAACAUUGAUAAGUUGAACGCAUAUGGCGCAUCGGACGUUUAAUCCCGACCGAUGCACACAUUCUUGAGU
rnacentral:rRNA from 1 species